rnacentral:tRNA from 1 species
GGGCCCUUAGCUCAUUUGGUAGAGCACUUGUUUUGCAUACAAGGGGUGAGGAGUUCGAAUCUCCUAGGGUCCA